rnacentral:rRNA from 1 species
UGCCUACGGGGGGCAGCAGUGGGGAAUAUUGCACAAUGGGGGAAACCCUGAUGCAGCAACGCCGCGUGAGUGAUGACGGCCUUCGGGUUGUAAACUUCUUUGACAGGGGAAGAGCAGAAGACGGUACCCUGAAAACAAGCCACGGCUAACUACGUGCCAGCAGCCGCGGUAAUACGUAGGGGGCAAGCGUUAUCCGGAUUUACUGGGUGUAAAGGGAGCGUAGACGGCGAUGCAAGUCUGAAGUGAAAGGCGGGGGCCCAACCCCCGGACUGCUUUGGAAACUGUAUGGCUGGAGUGCAGGAGAG